rnacentral:rRNA from 1 species
CGGAGGUUAUUUUGAAACUUAGUGAUAGAUAACCUUAGUGGCGGACGGGUGAGUAACGCGUGGAUAACCUGCCUACAUGCCUGGGACAACACCGGGAAACUGGUGCUAAUACCGGAUACGCUCUUGUAUGCACAUGCAUAUAAGAGGAAAGGAGCAAUCCGCAUAUAGAUGGGUCCGCGUCCCAUUAGCUAGUUGGAGGUGUAAGAGACCCCCAAGGCGACGAUGGGUAGCCGGCCUGAGAGGGUGGACGGCCACACUGGAACUGAGACACGGUCCAGACUCCUACGGGAGGCAGCAGUGGGGAAUCUUCCGCAAUGGGCGAAAGCCUGACGGAGCAACGCCGCGUGAGUGAAGAAGG